rnacentral:rRNA from 1 species
AACGCUAGCUACAGGCUUAACACAUGCAAGUCGAGGGGCAGCAUUUCAGUUUGCUUGCAAACUGGAGAUGGCGACCGGCGCACGGGUGAGUAACACGUAUCCAACCUGCCGAUAACUCGGGGAUAGCCUUUCGAAAGAAAGAUUAAUACCCGAUGGUAUAAUCAGACCGCAUGGUCUUAUUAUUAAAGAAUUUCGGUUAUCGAUGGGGAUGCGUUCCAUUAGGCAGUUGGUGAGGUAACGGCUCACCAAACCUUCGAUGGAUAGGGGUUCUGAGAGGAAGGUCCCCCACAUUGGAACUGAGACACGGUCCAAACUCCUACGGGAGGCAGCAGUGAGGAAUAUUGGUCAAUGGGCGCAGGCCUGAACCAGCCAAGUAGCGUGAAGGAUGACUGCCCUAUGGGUUGUAAACUUCUUUUAUAUGGGAAUAAAGUUUUCCACGUGUGGAAUUUUGUAUGUACCAUAUGAAUAAGGAUCGGCUAACUCCGUGCCAGCAGCCGCGGUAAUACGGAGGAUCCGAGCGUUAUCCGGAUUUAUUGGGUUUAAAGGGAGCGUAGGUGGACAGUUAAGUCAGUUGUGAAAGUUUGCGGCUCAACCGUAAAAUUGCAGUUGAUACUGGCUGUCUUGAGUACAGUAGAGGUGGGCGGAAUUCGUGGUGUAGCGGUGAAAUGCUUAGAUAUCACGAAGAACUCCGAUUGCGAAGGCAGCUCACUGGACUGCAACUGACACUGAUGCUCGAAAGUGUGGGUAUCAAACAGGAUUAGAUACCCUGGUAGUCCACACAGUAAACGAUGAAUACUCGCUGUUUGCGAUAUACAGUAAGCGGCCAAGCGAAAGCAUUAAGUAUUCCACCUGGGGAGUACGCCGGCAACGGUGAAACUCAAAGGAAUUGACGGGGGCCCGCACAAGCGGAGGAACAUGUGGUUUAAUUCGAUGAUACGCGAGGAACCUUACCCGGGCUUAAAUUGCAUUUGAAUAUAUUGGAAACAGUAUAGCCGUAAGGCAAAUGUGAAGGAGCUGCAUGGUUGUCGUCAGCUCGUGCCGUGAGGUGUCGGCUUAAGUGCCAUAACGAGCGCAACCCUUAUCUUUAGUUACUAACAGGUCAUGCUGAGGACUCUAGAGAGACUGCCGUCGUAAGAUGUGAGGAAGGUGGGGAUGACGUCAAAUCAGCACGGCCCUUACGUCCGGGGCUACACACGUGUUACAAUGGGGGGUACAGAAGGCAGCUACCUGGUGACAGGAUGCUAAUCCCAAAAGCCUCUCUCAGUUCGGAUCGAAGUCUGCAACCCGACUUCGUGAAGCUGGAUUCGCUAGUAAUCGCGCAUCAGCCAUGGCGCGGUGAAUACGUUCCCGGGCCUUGUACACACCGCCCGUCAAGCCAUGAAAGCCGGGGGUACCUGAAGUACGUAACCGCAAGGAGCGUCCUAGGGUAAAACUGA